AAGACAGUAAAGUAGAUGAUGG
rnacentral:siRNA from 1 species